rnacentral:rRNA from 1 species
GACGAACGCUGGCGGCGUGCUUAACACAUGCAAGUCGAACGGAAAGGCCCUGCUUUUGUGGGGUGCUCGAGUGGCGAACGGGUGAGUAACACGUGAGUAACCUGCCCUUGACUUUGGGAUAACUUCAGGAAACUGGUGCUAAUACCGGAUAGGAGCUCCUGCUGCAUGGUGGGGGUUGGAAAGUUUCGGCGGUUGGGGAUGGAAUCGCGGAUUAUCAGCUUGUUGGUGGGGUAGUGGCUUACCAAGGCUUUGACGGGUAGCCGGCCUGAGAGGGUGACCGGCCACAUUGGGACUGAGAUACGGCCCAGACUCCUACGGGCGGCAGCAGUGGGGAAUAGUGCACAAUGGGCGGAAGCCUGAUGCAGCAACGCCGCGUGCGGGAUGACGGCCUUCGGGUUGUAAACCGCUUUCGCCUGUGACGAAGCGUGAGUGACGGUAAUGGGUAAAGAAGCACCGGCUAACUACGUG